CCCAGACUCCUACGGGAGGCAGCAGUGGGGAAUAUUGCACAAUGGGGGGAACCCUGAUGCAGCGACGCCGCGUGGGUGAAGGAGUACUUCGGUACGUAAAGCCCUAUCAGCAGGAAAGAAAAUGACGGUACCUGACUAAGAAGCCCCGGCUAACUACGUGCCAGCAGCCGCGGUAAUACGUAGGGGGCAAGCGUUAUCCGGAUUUACUGGGUGUAAAGGGAGCGUAGACGGCAGUGCAAGUCCGGAGUGAAAGCCCGGGGCUCAACCCUGGGACUGCUCUGGAAACUGUAAAGCUGGAGUGCGGGAGGGGCAGGCGGAAUUCCUGGUGUAGCGGUGAAAUGCGUAGAUAUCAGGAGGAACACCGGCGGCGAAGGCGGCCUGCUGGACCGUAACUGACGUUGAGGCUCGAAAGCGUGGGGAGCAAACAGGAUUAGAUACCCUCGUAG
rnacentral:rRNA from 1 species